UACGAAGGGGGCUAGCGUUGCUCGGAAUCACUGGGCGUAAAGCGCACGUAGGCGGACUCUUAAGUCGGUGGUGAAAUCCUGGAGCUCAACUCCAGAACUGCCUUUGAUACUGAGGGUCUCGAGACCGGUAGAGGUAAGUGGAACUGCGAGUGUAGAGGUGAAAUUCGUAGAUAUUCGCAAGAACACCAGUGGCGAAGGCGGCUUACUGGACCGGUUCUGACGCUGAGGCGCGAAAGCGUGGGGAGCAAACAGG
rnacentral:rRNA from 1 species